AUUGAACGCUGGCGGCAGGCCUAACACAUGCAAGUCGAACGGUAACAGGAAGCAGCUUGCUGCUUCGCUGACGAGUGGCGGACGGGUGAGUAAUGUCUGGGAAGCUGCCUGAUGGAGGGGGAUAACUACUGGAAACGGUAGCUAAUACCGCAUAAUGUCGCAAGACCAAAGAGGGGGACCUUCGGGCCUCUUGCCAUCGGAUGUGCCCAGAUGGGAUUAGCUUGUUGGUGGGGUAACGGCUCACCAAGGCGACGAUCCCUAGCUGGUCUGAGAGGAUGACCAGCCACACUGGAACUGAGACACGGUCCAGACUCCUACGGGAGGCAGCAGUGGGGAAUAUUGCACAAUGGGCGCAAGCCUGAUGCAGCCAUGCCGCGUGUAUGAAGAAGGCCUCCUGGUUGUAAAGUACUUUCAGCGGGGAGGAAGGGAGUAAAGUUAAUACCUUUGCUCAUUGACGUUACCCGCAGAAGAAGCACCGGCUAACUCCGUG
rnacentral:rRNA from 1 species